UACAGAGGUGGCAAGCGUUGUUCGGAAUUACUGGGCGUAAAGGGCGCGUAGGCGGCUUGGUCAGUCCCGUGUGAAAUCCCUCGGCUCAACCGAGGAACUGCGACGGAUACUGCUUGGCUUGAGCCCCGGAGAGGGUAGCAGAAUUCAUGGUGUAGCAGUGAAAUGCGUAGAUAUCAUGAGGAAUACCAGAGGCGAAGGCGGCUACCUGGACAAUUGCUGACGCUCAGGCACGAAAGCGUGGGGAGCAAAAGGG
rnacentral:rRNA from 1 species